rnacentral:rRNA from 1 species
GACGAACGCUGGCGGCGUGCUUAACACAUGCAAGUCGAACGGAAAGGCCCUGCUUUUGUGGGGUGCUCGAGUGGCGAACGGGUGAGUAACACGUGAGUAACCUGCCCUUGACUUUGGGAUAACUUCAGGAAACUGGGGCUAAUACCGGAUAGGAGCUCCUGCUGCAUGGUGGGGGUUGGAAAGUUUCGGCGGUUGGGGAUGGACUCGCGGCUUAUCAGCUUGUUGGUGGGGUAGUGGCUUACCAAGGCUUUGACGGGUAGCCGGCCUGAGAGGGUGACCGGCCACAUUGGGACUGAGAUACGGCCCAGACUCCUACGGGAGGCAGCAGUGGGGAAUAUUGCACAAUGGGCGGAAGCCUGAUGCAGCAACGCCGCGUGCGGGAUGAUGGCCUUCGGGUUGUAAACCGCUUUCGCCUGUGACGAAGCGUGAGUGACGGUAAUGGGUGAAGAAGCACCGGCUAACUACGUG